rnacentral:tRNA from 1 species
GGGUGAUUAGCUCAGCUGAGAGAGCAUCUCCCUUACAAGGAGGGGGUCGGCGGUUCGAUCCCGUCAUCACCCACCA